UACGGAGGGGGCUAGCGUUGUUCGGAAUUACUGGGCGUAAAGCGCACGUAGGCGGCUUUGUAAGUUAGAGGUGAAAGCCCAGGGCUUAACCCUGGAAUUGCCUUUAAGACUGCAUCGCUAGAAUCGUGGAGAGGUGAGUGGAAUUCCGAGUGUAGAGGUGAAAUUCGUAGAUAUUCGGAAGAACACCAGUGGCGAAGGCGACUCACUGGACGCGUAUUGACGCUGAGGUGCGAAAGCGUGGGAGACAAACAGG
rnacentral:rRNA from 1 species